rnacentral:piRNA from 1 species
UGGAUUGUUAGUAGCUGGUCUGGGCC